GAAGUUCCAGAAUGUUGUCUUGUUUUUCCUUAACAACAUGGCGAUUCGUGAGAAAUCUACUUGUGGUUUUCUACGUAAGUCCUUAAUUCAAAGCUUUUAAAUGAAAAUUAAUAUUCACAGUAAAGAGAAAAUAUCAGAUGGCUCUUGAAAAUGCAGCUGUUAAUGCAAACCAUGAAGCUGACAGAAGUGCAGGAUGAUUCACUUCCUUUUAAUGAGAUUGUGAAUGGAGAUUACAAAUAAGAAUGCCUGUAGUGAUGACCAUUCUUUACAUGCUGUGGAGGAAGUUCUGCUGAUGAUUACGCUACUUCUAAUUAAGUGGCGCUGUUAAUUUAAAACGGACUUGGAGAAAAAGAAAAAAAGUGAUGUAGAUGCCAGCUAUUAAAGAAGACUAUUCUAUAAUUAUGAUUGACUCUAUUUGUACCUUUGACUCUUAUUUGUAGUAAAAAAUUUUGAACUAAAAUUUUUAAUGCAAAUAAAUUUGUUUAAUUUCUCUAAUUCAGUCUAUGUUUAUUUCUUUUAAGUCUUACGUUAAAAAAAAAAAAAAAAAAUUUCAUUCAUUUGUGUUAACUACUUAUAAAAAAUGUUUUUAAUGCUCUAUGUAUGUUUUUUUUUUUUUUUGUAUGGUGUACGUUUGUAGUAGUUUGGUUGUAAUUUAGUUUUAGAUCAUGAAAUGGCGCCAUCCUGAAAAGAAAAUCUUCACAAAGCUGUAAAAGACUCGAAUAUAUUUGUAGUUCAAAAUUGUCAUUUAUUACAUUUAAGUCAAUUGUUGCAUUAUAUCUUGAGCACUUUCAUUUGCACACAAGCAUAAAUAUCAAAAAAAUUAGUUACUAUUAUGGAAAACAAAAAAACUCGUGUACAAAUUGAAAUCUUUGAUGAAGAAUUCAACUUUUAUGUAACUAGAUUAGAAUCAGCUGAAUAAAUAAGAUACAUAUAUAUUUACAUGCCCAUGCUAGGUACGCCACUGUCUACAGAUUGUUUUUGCAUAUUUUUUAAGGGGGAAAAGGCCUAAAUUAUAUCUGACCCCUUGGCAACUGUCAUAUUUUCCUUGUUGACAGCAGUACAUGCAGAGAUUUGUGUGCAUUAAACUUGUUUUGAACAUAUACCUCUGAAAUGCGAACUUAUUUAUUUGUUUUUUUACUUUUCAGUUGUUAAUUGGAAACUGACUUGUAGAAAGGGAAAAGAAAUGUGAUAAAGAUGACAGCUAUUAAAAAUUACUGUUUUGUACUUUUGA